rnacentral:rRNA from 1 species
AACGAACGCUGGCGGCAGGCUUAACACAUGCAAGUCGAACGCAUCCUUCGGGGUGAGAGGCAGACGGGUGAGUAACGCGUGGGAACGUGCCCUUCAGUUCGGGAUAACCCAGGGAAACUUGGGCUAAUACCGGAUACGUGCGAGAGCAGAAAGAUUUAUCGCUGAAGGAUCGGCCCGCGUCUGAUUAGCUAGUUGGUGGGGUAAUGGCCCACCAAGGCGAUGAUCAGUAGCUGGUCUGAGAGGAUGAUCAGCCACAUUGGGACUGAGACAAGGCCCAACCUCCUACGGGAGGCGGCAGUGGGGAAUAUUGGACAAUGGGCGCAAGCCUGAUCCAGCCAUGCCGCGUGAGGGAUGACGGCCUUCGGGUUGUAAACCUCUUUCAGCACCGACGAAGCGCAAGUGACGGUAGGUGCAGAAGAAGGACCGGCCAACUACGUGCCAGCAGCCGCCGUAA